GGCACUUUCUCCUCCUUCUUCAUCUACUUGCCCAACACAGCAACCAGGUCUCGGAUGAGCUGGAAGUUUGUCUCGCAUUUCCCUGGGGAACAGGAAUGGACAGGAAUAAGGUUCCUGUGCUGUGAAAGUGCACAGGGAGGUGCUGUCAGAAAAGCCAAAAUGAAUGUACAUCUCAUUGAGCUGGUUCCAGUGGAGCUCUGAGGGAGGGUUAGUGCUCAUACACCAGAUAUUAAAUUAAAUCUAGUGAGAAGGAGCAGAUGUUGAUGUGCCAGGCCUGUCUGCCACCACGUCUAAUGCAUAAGGAUGGCUGAAAAAUCUCCCAUCAAAAUAUUUUGAUUUUUCUUGAGGAAAAAAUAAACUUCUACUAGAAAAAAAUAAAAAAUGAACCCCCGAGGCAGAAAACUUAUGGCUCAGAAAACUUUGUUUUCAGACUGUUGAUAAAGGGCUGCUGCUGUCAGAGAGGAUAAAGAGGAGGAUUUUUUCAUCAGCCAUGUUAAUCUGAUC